rnacentral:lncRNA from 1 species
UUUUUAUUUUUUAUUUAUGGUACUUAUGGUACUAGAGAGUUUGUACUUCUCAAAAAAUAAUCACUCGAUGUUCUUUUAAUUUUAGUUUUUAAUUUUCUUUCUUAUCCUUGUCCUUACUGACGGUGCCAUCACCAUCGUACCUUUAUGGUUUAUAUAGUUGAACAGACUUACAUUUUUACCAUUCCGUUUUUAACUUAUGUUUUGUUCUCUAAACAUCCUACCCGACGAGAAGCAAAACUUAUUUAUUUUUUACAUUUGUACUUCCAAGUGUCUUUAAUGGAAUUUUCACUAUUUUACUUUGCUUUACCUCAUCAAACAGGCGCACAACACAUUUGAAGAAACAAAAUACGUAUCUUUGAAGCAAUAAUGGGAUAACCAUUUGCACAGGACUUCAUGUAUGCCUUCAUCAUAGAAAAAUAUAAUGAAUAUUGCCAAGUUCUAAGGUUAAACAAAUGAAUCAUAUAGAAUAUUGUCAAAACCCCACAUUUUUCUCACUAAAAUAAACUUCUGUACUUGCAUACAACCCUCUUUGAACUUGGACGACACCUAGUGCUCAUCUUGGACAAUGACCAGUGCUCAACUCGAACGGAGGAGGUUGUCGUUGCUUUUUAACCAUGAAUGCUUCUAAAGACACUGGGAAUUAUUUCAAAACUGCUUUGUACUUUUUAACAUGAGAGUUCUCUCAACUAGGCCAAGAAGCAAUGCCACAUCAUAUUUUGAUUCUGCAAUAACAAAACACUCCAAUAAUUAACAACUAAUCUAUCAGUACAUGCAGAACAAUUUCAGUUUUGAGAAGAAACUUCCAUUGAAGUUACAAACGUUACAGGCAUAACAUACAAACUCCCAAAAUCAUGUGGAUUUAUCUAGUUCAUGUGCGGCAACUCACAAAAUCAGUGAAUUUUCGUUAAUUUUUCUUCAUCAGACACAUCAUCACAUGUUUUGUUUUUUCUUCUGUAAUAUGCACGGAACUGCAGCAAUAAACAAAACUUGUACACCCGUAGAGUUUUUGCAAAGCGAACUGAUACCUUUUCUAACCCGAGAACUGCAGAAAACUAGCAAAAGUGAGCCACCAAAUUCUAUAUAUAAGUGCAGAAAAUAAGACAUCAAAAGCUUAAACAAAGUAGUUGGAGUUUUUUUAACACAUCAGCAUUCGAACUUCUAGUAUUCUUGUCCUCAAAACAAAGACCUUCAUUUUAACCACCGCAAAUAAACUCUUAAAUACUUAUGGCAAGUAUAUUUGAACUGAUGUAUCCUUUUUCUAGCUACUGAAUUGCUAACCACCACAAAUAAACUCUUAACAACUUAUGAAAAGUAUUUUUGAAACUGAUGGAUCUUCUUUCUAGUUACUGAAUUGCUAUACCACAGUACUCCAUCCUGGGAAGUGAAAUACCAACAUCAUUGGUUGUGUAAAAACACUCAAAAGAUUUGCUAAUGGUACUAUAUUAAUUUCUAAAAUUUCCUCCUAGCGCUGACAAAGACAAGCACGAACCAAUAAUCACACAUACACCCAUUAGAAGCAGCGUUAGUGUAGAACUGAAAAAUCGGCAAAAAUCCUGUGGAGUGAGAGGCGAAGAAGAAUACAAAGAUGAUGUCAGACCGGAUGGCCGAGUGGGACGCGGGGGUCAGGUUGGACUGAAGGAGCAAUCUGAAUACAAGCACUAGUGAUAAUAAUAAGGCAGUCAAGCAUCUAGUUAUGGCACACCCAAUAAUAGUUGUACUGAGAUGGUCAACUAAUUGUACUGAGAUAGUGAAAUUAUUUAUUGCAAAAAGAAAGUCUAAAUCAGGGCUGAAAUUUAGUCUAAAUCGUAAGACUGAUGGGAGGAUAAGGUAACUUCGGCAAAUGUAUAUAGAAUUUUAAAUUUCCAACACAUACCUUCUGUUCUUGUUUGUUGUCGGGCAUGUCGCUCCUACUCCUGUGGACUGACGGCACCGACGAAGUCGAGCUGAAGGAGCGGGGAUCACGAGCGGCUGCUGGGCCUGUUUUCUAAAAACUGAGAAACGUUGGUUCAUUGGUCUCUCUGAGUCCAUCAUCUUAUGACCAAUACUUGCUAGACGAUAGAUCUAUCUGGCCAAAGGUCGUACACGUACGGAUGACUCAACGCUGACCGAAAACAUGUGCACGUGGAGGUGAUUCUAUAGGGGUGUGUUGCUUCUGAUCACUUCUAGAUGCACGAGCUGCACCUUUAGUGGCUGUCACAACGCUCCGUCUUUGAUGGAUCACAAGAGAUAACUCGACUAUGAAUCCUAGCACUACAGAGAACAUGCUCAUUCCCAGCAUGCAUGCAUAUGGUGGCCGUUAGCACGAGUUGAUCCGGCCGUGAGUGCAGCUGAGUUAGUUUCAGCUAUAGGUAUCGUCAAGAUUAUCCAUGCAACGAUAGAACAAUCGUUCAAAAUCAGAGAAUCUUAAUAAAACUGUCAUUUGCCAAACGCCUCCACAGUUUUACCAAAACUGAGAAAAAACUAGCUUUUUAGAAACUAAAGAAUUUGCCCACACAUUAAAAUACUGAGGUUUUCUAAUGCUAUGGUUUUGCAAAAACUACUUUGCCAAACUAAUAAGGUUCGGAAAGUAACAGCGAGGGAGUGUACCUCUGCCUUCCUUUGUGCCCUUGCUUCUCCCUCUGCCUCUAUGCCAUCGAGUUUCAGCGGCUGCACCAUAAGCAGCUAUGUCAAGACAACAAAUUCUUUCUCCUCA